rnacentral:rRNA from 1 species
GUGCCAGCAGCCGCGGUAAUACCGGCAGCUCAAGUGAUGACCGAUUUUAUUGGGCCUAAAGCGUCCGUAGCUGGCCGCGCAAGUCUGUCGGGAGAUCCACCCGCUUAACGGGUGGGCGUCCGGCGGAAACUGUGCGGCUUGGGACAGGAAGGCUCGAGGGGUACGUUCGGGGUAGGAGUGAAAUCCCGUAAUCCUGAACGGACCACCGAUGGCGAAAGCACGUCGCGAGGACGGAUCCGACAGUGAGGGACGACAGCCAGGGUCUCGAACCGGAUUAGAUACCCGCGUAGUCC